GUUCAGCUCUGGUCCUCACCCACAACUAACCUAAUUUUGAAUGUACAUAAUGUUUCUACUUUCCAAAGGACUCAGCUAAGGGUCAGGUACUAUAGGAAUAUUUUACAGUUUAGUUUAGAUUCGUUUAGAAAAGGAGCUUGCUUCACUUCGCUCAGGGCAUAAGUGUUCUCAAGACUUUUGGGACCUGGUGGAUUGAAGACAUGGUUUUGCUGGCUGUUUGAUUCCAUUUUGGACACAGGGCAGUAAGGAAAGAAUGAUUCAUUUUGACUGUGAUUGCUGGGAAAGAUAUCUUGAAAUGGAGACUGUGAGUACCCUCUCCAAGCCAUGAGAUGGAAGAGUGUCCUUAUAUGAAGACUGCUGGAGUUCCAUUGGCUGGAAGUGCCUCAGGCUGUGGCUGGUGUUUGAAGGGCUGCUCCACACAUAUCAAUCAUCCUUUGACAAGAUCUGGAAGAAAAAAAAAAACAACAAAAACCACCCCCCAAAAAGGUUAAAUUCUGUUCUUUUCAGGGGACAGAUGGUUUAGAAAUUUUCCUAGAAGUGCCCUUGGCAGAUUUAAGUGCUUGCUGCUACUGUUACUAUUUCUAGUAGAAAGUGAGGUUCCGAGAUGGUAUCUGGAUGAUGAACACAGAGAGAGCUUCCAUUGUUCCUCUUCUCCUUUGUGCAGAGGAAGCCGUUGGCUGUGACUACUGAGAACAGAAUGUCCCCUCACAUCCAAUAUGGUAUCAGCCCUGACAUCUCUUAAAUACAGAAAAUAACAAGAGGAAGAAUUCGUCUUCAUGAAUUGAAUUGUCAGUUCUGCAGACAAUUAUCAAAAAUUUUACAGGAACACCUUGAGAGAUGUCGAAGUGUUUAUUUCAACAGCCCAAAGAAGAGAACCACAAUAUGGACACUCUCUGUCUUCACAAAUCCCCCAACGCAUGUUUUAUUCAACCUUCCAAUUUUUAGACAAAGAUUCUUGUUAGCCUCAUGAAAGACCUGGAUACUGGGGGAAAGAUGGUAUCAUAUUUUCAAUUAUGAUCAACUCACCUAAUCUGACGGAAGUGGUAAGAAGGAAGCUGGUGUGUAUGCUGAUUGUGAUUUUGAGAAUAAACUCUUACUUCUAAACCA
ensembl:lncRNA ROCR regulator of chondrogenesis RNA